UCCACGCCGUAAACGAUGGUCACUAGUUGUCGGGGCGCGAGCUUCGGUGACUAAGCGAAAGUGAUAAGUGACCCACCUGGGGAGUACGAUCGCAAGAUUGAAACUCAAAGGAAUUGACGGGGGCCCGCACAAGCGGUGGAGCAUGUGGUUUAAUUCGAUGAUACGCGAGGAACCUUACCAGGGCUUAAAUGUAAGUUGCAUAAGACAGAGAUGUUUUUUCUUCGGACUACUUA
rnacentral:rRNA from 1 species